rnacentral:rRNA from 1 species
UACCCCUACGGGGCGCAGCAGUGGGGAAUAUUGCACAAUGGGGGAAACCCUGAUGCAGCAACGCCGCGUGAAGGAAGACGGUUUUCGGAUUGUAAACUUCUGUUCUUAGUGAAGAAAAAUGACGGUAGCUAAGGAGCAAGCCACGGCUAACUACGUGCCAGCAGCCGCGGUAAUACGUAGGUGGCAAGCGUUAUCCGGAUUUACUGGGUGUAAAGGGCGUGUAGGCGGGAGAGCAAGUCAGACGUGAAAUUCCAGGGCUCAACCCUGGAACUGCGUUUGAAACUGUUCUUCUUGAGUGAUGGAGA